rnacentral:rRNA from 1 species
UAACACAUGCAAGUCGAGGGGUAACAUGGAUUGCUUGCAAUCUGAUGACGACCGGCGCACGGGUGCGUAACGCGUAUACAAUCUGCCUUGUACUGGGGUAUAGCCUUUAGAAAUGAAGAUUAAUCCCCCAUGGUCUAUAGAUAUGGCAUCGUAUUUAUAGUAAAGGUUUACGGUACAAGAUGAGUAUGCGUCCUAUUAGUUAGUUGGUGAGGUAACGGCUUACCAAGACGACGAUAGGUAGGGGCCCUGAGAGGGGGAUCCCCCACACUGGUACUGAGACACGGACCAGACUCCUACGGGAGGCAGCAGUGAGGAAUAUUGGACAAUGGGCGAGAGCCUGAUCCAGCCAUGCCGCGUGCAGGAAGACUGCCCUAUGGGUUGUAAACUGCUUUUAUACAGGAAGAAACACUCCCUCGUGAGGGAGCUUGACGGUACUGUAAGAAUAAGGACCGGCUAACUCCGUGCCAGCAGCCGCGGUAAUACGGAGGGUCCGAGCGUUAUCCGGAAUCAUUGGGUUUAAAGGGUCCGUAGGCUGGCAAUUAAGUCAGUGGUGAAAGUCUGCAGCUCAACUGUAGAAUUGCCAUUGAUACUGAUUGUCUUGAAUUAUUAUGAAGUGGUUAGAAUAUGUAGUGUAGCGGUGAAAUGCAUAGAUAUUACAUAGAAUACCAAUUGCGAAGGCAGAUCACUAAUAAUAUAUUGACGCUGAUGGACGAAAGCGUGGGGAGCGAACAGGAUUAGAUACCCUGGUAGUCCACGCCGUAAACGAUGGAUACUAGCUGUUCGGUUUUCGGACUGAGUGGCUAAGCGAAAGUGAUAAGUAUCCCACCUGGGGGAGUACGUUCGCAAGAAUGAAACUCAAAUGAAUUGACGG